UGCCUGGUGGUGUAAUGGUAACACAGCGCCCUUUGGAGGCGUUGUUCAUGGUUCGAGUCCAUGCCAGGCAGCCA
rnacentral:tRNA from 1 species